CCUCCACUCAGACUGAGCUUCUAAAUAAAGAUGUAUCUUUGCAGACCAUGGUAUGUGGGAAGUGCCUGCACCUUUCAGCUGGAGCAGAGACCACUAUCCCCUGCUACUGUUUCAUGGAGGUAUCAGCAACACAGCUAUCAAGCAACCUGAAGAAUAUCAAGGAGGACUACAAGCAGCUGCAAGCAACAGUGAAGAAUUUGGGAGCACAGAUAGUAUUCUCAUCAGUCUACCAGAACUGCUACUGUUGGUAAACCAGGUGUCUUCUGCAUCUUCUAAGGGCUCAUCCUUCAGAUCCGACCAGCUGGAAUAUGCAGCUUCA